CCUACGGGUGGCAGCAGUGAGGAAUAUUGGUCAAUGGACGAGAGUCUGAACCAGCCAAGUAGCGUGAAGGAUGACUGCCCUAUGGGUUGUAAACUUCUUUUAUAAAGGAAUAAAACGAGGCACGUGUGCCUUUUUGCAUGUACUUUAUGAAUAAGGAUCGGCUAACUCCGUGCCAGCAGCGGCGGUAAUACGGAGGAUCCGAGCGUUAUCCGGAUUUAUUGGGUUUAAAGGGAGCGUAGAUGGGUUGUUAAGUCAGUUGUGAAAGUCUGCGGCUCAACCGUAAAAUUGCAAUUGAUACUGGCAGUCUUGAGUACAGUUGAGGUAAGCGGAAUUCGUGGUGUAGCGGUGAAAUGCUUAGAUAUCACGAAGAACCCCGAUUGCGAAGGCAGCUUACCAAACUGUGACUGACAUUGAUGCUCGAAAGUGUGGGUAUCAAACAGGAUUAGAUACCCCUGUAGUC
rnacentral:rRNA from 1 species